UAAUAUGAACUAAUUAAAUUGAACAGAAAUUACAACAAGGCCCAUUUAACAAAUUCAUAAACAUAUGAAAUGCUUAAUUUAUUGGCAACUACAAGUAACAUAAUAUGAAACGUCUAUACAAAACCAAUCCGCAUUUUUCUAAUCAUUCUGAUUUCCUUCUCUAACCUGAAUAUACUUGUGAGAUCCCACAUCGGUUGGAGAGGAGAACGAAGCAUUCUUUAUAAGGGUGUAGAACAUCCUCUCAAGGGAAAGCCCAAAGAGGACAAUAUCCGCUAGCGGUGGGCUUUAACCGUUACAAAUGAUAUCAGAGUCAAAUACUGGGUAAUGUGUUAGCAAGAAGGCUAAACCCCAAAGGAGGUGGACACGAGGAGGUGUGCGAGCAAGGACGUAGGGACUGAAGGAGGGGGAUUGUGAGGGGUCCCACAUCGAUUGGAGAAGGGAACGAAUACCAUCGAGGACAUUGGGCCCCAAAGGGAGGUGGAUUGGGGGAUUGAGGAGUCCCACAUCGAUUAGAGAAGGGAACGAAUGUCAUCGAAGACGUUGGGCCCUAAAGGGAGGUGGAUUGUGAGAUCCCAUAUCGGUUGGAGAGGAGAACAAAACAUUUUUUAUAAAGGUGUGGAAACCUCUCC